rnacentral:lncRNA from 1 species
CUAUUAAAAGCAUCAUAAGAGUGGUGAGCAUGACAGCUUCCUUCGCGGUAGCUUCCACAGACCCCUUCCGGUGUUCCGAAACUGGCAAACUUAACUGCUGAGAUUUUUUGCCCAGCAUCGCACUCUAAAUGCACUUUUGGCCUUAGGGGUUUGUUGACUUUACCAGAGGCUUUCAUCAGGUAAUUCAUUAGGUUAGGUUGCCACUCGUAGAUAUCAGCACAGACACUGUCAGUUUCUCGGCGUACCAAAGUAAUUCCAUUCGGAUCUCCACCCCAUUCCUCAAACACAACCAACAAAUUCCCUGUUGGGUUGAGCCAUGAACGAGGAACAUGGUACCUAUAUUAAGUUAGUAACCACAAGUCAGUCUAUCGAAAACUCCUAGAUUGUCGGAGAAACAGAAAAGCAGAUUGGUUUUGUUCUAGCUUACCAUCUUUGAGAGGCCUCUCCACAAUUAGUUCCAC